GGGGGUGAAAUGGUUUCGACGGGGAGGUUGAAGCCGGGUAAGCGAGCCGUAGUCGCCAAGUCUACGUUAAAAGUGGCCGUUUAAAUAUAAACGCUAAAAAUAAUAACAAUUUCGCAAUGGCUGCGUAAUUCAGCCCGCGUGUCUUGAGCGAUUUUCCUGUAGAUCGCUUAAAGGCAUCAAACCAUACAGGAAACUUUCCGGUGAGUGUCAGGUAGCCUGGAUCGCAUAACUGACUAGUCUGUUCUUAUCCGUGACUCUUGGGAAUGUGCAGAUGAAAUUUUUCUAGGGUCUUCGCUCGGAGAAAGCCUUGUGAAUAUCUUUUCGGACGCGAGUUCAACUCUCGCCACUUCCACCA
rnacentral:tmRNA from 1 species